rnacentral:rRNA from 1 species
AUUGAACGCUGGCGGCAGGCUUAACACAUGCAAGUCGAGCGGGCGAGGUUGCUUCGGUAACUGAGCUAGCGGCGGACGGGUGAGUAAAGCUUAGGAAUCUGCCUAUUAGUGGGGGACAACAUUCCGAAAGGGAUGCUAAUACCGCAUACGUCCUACGGGAGAAAGCAGGGGCUCUUUAUGACCUUGCGCUAAUAGAUGAGCCUAAGUCGGAUAGCUAGUUGGUGGGGUAAAGGCCUACCAAGGCGACGAUCUGUAGCGGGUCUGAGAGGAUGAUCCGCCACACUGGGACUGAGACACGGCCCAGACUCCUACGGGAGGCAGCAGUGGGGAAUAUUGGACAAUGGGGGGAACCCUGAUCCAGCCAUGCCGCGUGUGUGAAGAAGGCCUUUUGGUUGUAAAGCACUUUAAGUGGGGAGGAGGCUUACCUGGUUAAUACCUGGGCUAAGUGGAUGUUACCCACAGAAUAAGCACCGGCUAACUCUGUGCCAGCCGCCGCCGUAA